rnacentral:misc_RNA from 1 species
AGAUAAUGGUCGUUCGAGUUGCAGGGACUAAGCCGCCCAGUCUAGCUUUCCCGUGGACUCGAGGCUGAAAUGUAGCUCGUGUGUGGGUGUGGAGACUGAGAGUCCUUUUUUUUGAGACAGAGGGAGAAGGAGGAAUUCUAUAACGUUCUUGUGAAUUGAAAGAGUUUUUUUGUUUAUUGUUAAGAAUAGUGCAUCGUGUUCGUUUGCUGUAUUCGUCUGGGGUGACAUAUGCCGGGAAAUCUGUAUUGUUGUUUUUGUUUUUUUUUCUAUAUGUAAAACAGUAAAUAGAUCCAUGAAUGGUGACCGUACAGAACAGAGAGUGAUUCCUUAUUGUUGUAAAGGAAAGUCACCGAUGUUGAUUACAGGCUGUGAGAAUAACGAAUAUGAACAAUUUGACUCGGUGAGACUAACGCUCCACUGUUCUUCAAAGGACUUGGCGGAUACAAUACGUUCGGGAUAACACUGUAAUCUGUUAUUUUAUCCCAGUUAUCACGUACUGAAAGAAAUGAGUGGAAAAUGUGACGAUUUCUCUAUACUGACGUGCAGAGUUCUGUGAGACACCCGUACCUGAGCGCCAGCAUAGGAUGAGGAUAUAAGCUCAGAGGUUCAAGUCAGCGGCCUCGUGAGGAGCCCAGAGUCGGCUAGGGUCAGCGCUUGGCAGCAGGAUGACGGUGCCAAGUCAGCCCGAGAACCACAGUUACCCCGCCCUGCCCGACUCGGCCUUCGACAUGUCCAGGUCGGGGGGAAGCUUCGUGCUAGCCGACCUGGAGAUCGAGAUGCCGGUGUGGGAGUUCGUCCUCACGGUGGUCUGCCUCAGUACCAUCACCGUCUUCACCGUUUUCGGGAACGCCCUCGUCAUCGUGUCCGUGUUCACGUAUCGGCCGUUGAGGAUCGUGCAGAACUUCUUCAUCGCGUCGCUGGCCGUGGCCGACCUGACGGUGGCCGUGUUCGUGCUGCCUUUCGGCGCCGUCUACACCAUCCUCGGGAAGUGGAUCUUCGGCCUCCACCUCUGCAGGUUCUGGCUCACCAUCGACAUCCUGUGCUGCACGGCCUCCAUCCUCAACCUGUGCGCCAUCGCUCUCGACCGCUACUGGGCCAUCAGCGACGCCAUCAACUACGCGCAGAAGCGAACCCGGAGGCGCGUGCUGGCCAUGAUCGGCCUGGUGUGGGCCAUCAGCGUGGCCAUCUGCCUGCCGCCGCUGUUCGGCUGGAACGACUGGCCCGAGGUCUUCACGCGCGACACGCCCUGCACGCCCACCAAGCAAAAGGGUUACGUCAUCUUCUCCUCCGUCGGCUCCUUCUACUGCCCGCUGCUCAUCAUGGCCGUCCUCAACGUCAAGAUCUUCCGCUCCAUCCGCAGCAGGCUCCGAAAGCGCGUCUCCAGGCACAGCCAAGUGCUCGGCCUCGGAAACAUCCGGUUUUCGCGGAUAGACAACAUCUCGACGUAUGUGGCGCCGCCCGCGACCCGCCCCGCCCGCGCCCUCAGCGGGACCUACGCGGGGCGCCCGGACGACGACGCGCAGCACGUCGGCGGCGCCAAGGGAAACGCCCCCACGCUCCCCAACGACGACAGCGAGAUCCAGCAGGUCAUCCGGAGGACGCGGAAGAUCUCGCUGUCGAAGGAGCGUCGCGCCGCCCGGACGCUGGGCAUCAUCAUGGGCGCCUUCGUGGUGUGCUGGCUGCCCUUCUUCCUGAUGUACGUGGUCCUGGCCUUCUGCCCGACGUGCGCGCCCCCGAGCCCCAAGCUCAGCGCCUUCGUCAUCUGGCUCGGCUACGUCAACUCGGCACUCAACCCCGUCAUCUACACCUUCUUCAACAAAGACUUCUCGAGAGCCAUCGCCAGGAUCCUCAGGCGACCCAGCAAGUGAACGGGCGAGCGGGCGAACGUGGGAACGGGCGAACGUGGGAACGGGAGAACGGGCGAACGUGUGAACGUGGGAACUGGAGAAUGUGUGAACGGGCGAACGUGUGAACGGGCGAACGUGUGAACGUGCAACAUCCAACGUGGGAACGGUCGAAUGUGUGAACGGGCGAAUGGACGAACGUGUGAACGGGAGAACGUGUAAACGGACGAACGUGUGAACGGACGAACGUGUGAACGGGCGAACGGACGAACGUGUGAACGGGCGAACGUGGGAACGGACGAACGUGUGAACGGGCAAACGUGUGAACGGGCGAACCUGGGAACGGGCGAACGGACGAACGUGUGAACAUGUGAACGGGCGAAUGUGUGAACGGGCGAACGUGUGAACACGUGAACGAGUGAACGUGUCAACGUGAGAACGGAUGAACGUGUGAAUGGGCGAACGUGUGAACGAGCGUGAAAGGGCGACCAGCUUGUGAGGUGAAUCUAACCUUUGCUUCGAAUAUCCAAAUCCUGUGAUUAUCCGAGCUUACCAGAAUUCUGCGUCGGACUGAUUACUUAUUAAGCAGACUGACGAAGACGCUGAGACUCGAAAUAUUUUGAUUAUAUUUUGAUAUUAUGAUUAAGGUGGUUCUGUGCCGCGCAAGAUGACCAUUUUUUUCCCAUUUAACUUUUUGCUAAUAAAUAAUGAUUAAAAUACAAAA